GUUUCUCUUUUCAGCUCUGAAGUGAAGAUUCACUUGGGAAGAAGAAAAGGCACAAAAUUUUGAGCUGGCCCUCUAAAUGAAGGUUGUGCAACCUGCACCUCCAAGGUCAGUCAAGCAUCUCUCUGAAGCCUCCAGCUCCAACUCUUUUGUUUCUUCAAGCAUGCAAGCUCACAGACACUCUUCCAGUUCUUUGAUGUAUUGUCUUCAAUUUUCAUUGUUAAAUGGACCCAUUGUGGACCUUUGCUCCCACAGGUAAAUAUGCAGUAUCUCCCACUUAAUGUCAAUGUUUCCAGAGUACCACAAAAGCUGUUAGAGGAAUUAAUCACUUUUUGAUUUCCAUGGGACAGUAGACAACAUGUGAGAGAGAACUUAGGCAAUGAUAUCUGUUAUUAUCACCCUUCUGAAACUCACCACUGCUGAGUGAAAAUGAGCUUUGUGAAGGUAAUGAAUUACUGGUCACCACAUGUGUUCCCUCAGUAUAACAUUAAGGGUAAAACUCAUCACUUUGAACAGCAUCAACAUGGUCUUGUGUAACACCAAUUCUCACUCACCCAUUUCUUUCAGAGGAGAUGAAAGAGGUAUCUGUUUACCCAGGAUACCCUGGGUUUGCAUUUCACCACUCCCAGAGCAAGUAAUGAUUUGCUGGACAACCAUCAGACUAGCCAGAGACGGACUUUCUGUGCUGCUAGGUAGCAUGGAGCUAUAGUGGCUCUGCACAUUGAGUGAGAAGUCAGAUAAAUUAUAACACCCAGUAUCACAGCAGUAAAAAUGACAAAAAUAAAUACCACAGUAUUUUAGUAGAGUUCUUUGCUGCUGCCUUUAGACAAAUAGUGUGCAAUCAAUUCAUAGAAUAAGAAAUAUCAGAAUACCCGUUAUACCAGAAUGUUGUAUUGCCCCCCAGAAAACCCAACGUAAGUUCCCCCCGAGGGCAUUUUAGAAUUGGUGAGGGAUAAAUUCAGAUAAAUGGUGGUGUCCAUUGUGUUAGACUCCACACACUGAAUACCUGGCAACUCGGAGACCAAAAGAUGUGCAAGAGCCAUGUUUGUGAGCAGACUUUUCUUGUUUGGCAGUACCUGAGAGCAUAACUAAGCUGGACAAGGAAUUUCAGUCUGGGUCUGUCUUCUCUGCUUAUGUGUAUGUAAAGGCGCCCAGGUGAUUUUCUUGGCACAGGGUUUGCAAGCACGUAGCUGCUGCAUCCUGUCACUGGAGACUAAGAAGCUGUGGCAGGUCAUCACAAAAAGAAUUAGCUCAUGUAUUUUGACAGGUGAAGCAAAAUAAAAUGAAAUAAUUUGACAGGAAGUGAAGCCAAAAUGCAACAAAGGGAUAGACUUGAAGGAAUAUCAGGUUACCAGAGAGGAAAACAACACAAGGAUGAGAAAUGUAUAAACAAAUAAAGAUAGAUAUUUUUAUAAAUCUGUUUCAACCUCAGUUGUUUGACUAGCUCAGAAUUCUUUGUCUCUUGGCCUGUUUGGGUAAGGCACUGCUACUGUCACAGUAAACACUUCCACUUCCUAACACAAAGUAAGGGAACUCCAAGAUCUCUUGCCAAGAUUUCUUUCAAAUCUGAACUGAGUGUGAAGCAUGAAAUAAGAAGGUCCACUUGAGUUUGGAGGGAGUCUAAAAUAAGAGCUCUAGGAAUUGGAAGCUGCUCUAUUAGUUUCAUUUCAGGCCCACGGACUGCAUAGGUUUGUGGCCAAGAAACUGCCAAUUGUGACUGCUAUUCCCUAAGGGAAGAAAGAGAAAUGCUAUAUGGGGCACAAAAGCAACAGUGGAUUUCUUAGCAUAUGGUCUUUUCCAGUGUGAGCUCAGCUAGCUUUCUGCUCUAAGAAAACAAGAGAGAGCUUUGCAACUAGUAUUACCAAGUGGCUAGAGACUUUAUUGACACUGUGGUGCUAGAAAAAACAUAGACAAGCAAAGGAGAAAAUUUAUCCGAAAUUACAGCAAAGAAAUGCAUUAGCAAAAGAAAAAAAAUUAUAAACUACACAGGCAGCAUGGAAAGCAACAGUGGGGUUUUCUCAUUAAAGAUGCUGACAACAUGAAAGUAGAAAAGGCAACAUGUCAAUACAGCUGUAGCUGGUCACAGAAGUGAAUAGCUGGCCUGUUUCUGAGGACCGCUGUUGUGAUCCUAGGGAACAGUGUACAGAUGCGUGGCAGUACCCAGCCUGUUCAGGUUACACCAGCCUGCAAGCCUCCAGCCAAACAGCCUGCCAUUUAGUGGUACAUAUUCCUCGGCUGCACACAGCACACACAGGCCAUCUGUGAGAAAACAGGAUUCCCUCCUGUGCCUGGGCAGUGGCAGUGACACCACCCAGGGACUGACAGACCACAAGCUAGCAUGCAGCAAGCUUCCGGAGGGCAGGGGAUAUAGCAGUAGAGGAGCUGUGAGAUUUGGUUUUGAUACCUUGAUACCCAGAGCCCCAGAAGUUUGCCUGAAGAAGCACGUCUCAUGUGUCAGUGGGUCUAAAACAUACAGGAGCCAGGAUCUCCAGUAUGAGAGUAGGUAAGAAGAGUAUGUGUCAUGGAGGUAGCUGAAGAGAUUAUGGGAAAGUUAAAAUAGAGUUUAAUGCUCUAUGUAUUUAGACAGGUGAAAGUGUGAUUUGGAGACCUGGGCAAAGGACUUCUGUGAAUAGGUUUGUUUUCUUUCAGAGAGUGUUUUAUAAUCUGAAAAUCUGAGUGGUUUGUUCUGAAAAUAUUACGUAUUAAGCACUUUGUUGUUAUAACUGUUGUUUAGACUUUGUUAUGAAUGCAUAUGAAAAAAUCCACUUGUUAUCUACUUUAUUUGGAUGAAUUGUUAUCUGACAUUAACAGGAAAUUUAGGCAGAGUCCCGCAGGAGUCAUCCCUUGCUGUAAGUGUGCAGUCUUAUUAAUCACUUUAAAAUGUUUCGUGGCUCUCAGAGUUGCCAAGAUCUCUUUUAAACCUGAACUGAGUGUGAAGCAAUGACGUAAGAAGGUUCACUUGAGUUUGGAGAGUCUAAAACAACAGCUCUAGGAAUUGCAAACUGCUCUACUGCUCUACUAGUCUCAUUUCAGGCCUAUGGACUGCAUAGGUUUGUGGCCAAGAAACAGACAAAAUGCCACAGAAGGAACACUUUCAUUUGGGAUUUGCCAUAACAACGUGGCUGGUGCCAAAGGUGGUGUGAUGGGAGGUAAGGAAAGCCCAAAGCCAUGUGCUGUGACAAUUAUCACACAUACCCAGCAUGGAUGUGUGGC